rnacentral:misc_RNA from 1 species
UUUGUAUUAAUUGAAAAAUAUAUAUAUUUUUGAAAAAAAAAAAAAAGUUUCUCUACUUAAAAAUGCUUAACGUCAUAUAAAUCCAAUUCACUAGAAAUAUUUUCUAAUCAAAUAAUGAGAAUCCCAUGUCAUCAUCACUUUCCUCUGCUGGCUCUUCCUUCUUUUCCUCAGCUGCAGGUGCAUCAGCUGUGGCUGCUGCACCUCCUGCUAGAGCCCCUGCAGCAGCACCACCACCUCCACCAAAGAAAGCUCCUCCACCACUACCACCAAUGAUCACCUGAAAAACGGCCGAGGAGGGGGUGAUGAAAGAGAAAGAGGACUGGACACCGCCGG